rnacentral:tRNA from 1 species
CCUGAUAGCUCAGUGGUAAAGAAUCUGCCUGCAAUGCAGAAGACCUGGGUUGGAUCCCUGGGUUAGGA